rnacentral:misc_RNA from 1 species
UGUCGGGAGAAGGAAAAGUUGGUCUUAGGUGAACUUAGGAACUAUGAGCUUUCUGAUUGUCUGGAUAACUUUUUGCCAAGUAAAUUUGACAAAGAUAAGUUACGCCGUUCGCAUUCUUUGAUUACAGGAAAGCAAGAUGACACUUGGUCCAAGAAAGUAGCUAGAGACUUGACUAACAAUAAAAAUAAACUUAGCAACAGUAACGGCAAUGGUCUGCUUGCUAGGGUUGGUGAUGGUUCUGUGCAUGAUAAUUCAUUUGAACAGGAUUUCCCCUCAUUGGGAGCUGAGGAAAGACAAGGCGGUAUAGGAAGGGUUUCUUCUCCUGGCUUAAGUGCGGCUACUCAAACUGGUACUUCACCUGUGGUUGUUAGUGAGUAUUGGAAGUCAGCUCUAGCAGAGGUGCCAAUUGUUGUGGGAAGCAGUAGUAUGGUUGUUACAUCAGCUCAGAAAGCCAUUCCUGCAACCUCAGCUACUGUGGUGCCAAACAUUACGACAGGACUCAAUAUGGCUGAAGCAUUAGCACAAGGCCCUCCUCGUGUUCGUACACCUCCCCAGCCAACUGCUGGAAUACAACGGUUUGAAGAGCUCACUAUUAGGCAGUCAAAAUUGAUUCCCAUGACUCCUUCCAUGCCUAAAACCUUGGUGGUCAGUCCUUCAGAGAAAUCAAAACCCAAGAUUGGUUCGCCGAAAC